rnacentral:rRNA from 1 species
GAGAUUAGCUCCCGGUGAACAGCCGUCGUUGUGACCGUACCCCAGAAAUAAGCACCGGCUAACUUCUGUGCCAGCAGCCGCGGUAACACGAAGGGCGCAAGCGUUACUCGGAAUUACUGGGCGUAAAGCGUGCGUAGGCGGUUUCUUAAGUCUGCCGUGAAAGCCCUGGGCUCAACCUGGGAAUUGCGGUAGAAACUGAUAAGCUGGAGUGCGGUAGAGGAGGGUGGAAUUCCCGGUGUAUCGGUGAAAUGCGUAGAGAUCGGGAGGAACAUCAGUGGCGAAGCCGGCCCUCUGGACCAGCACUGACGCUGAGGCACGAAAGCGUGGGGAGCAAACAGGAUUAGAUACCCUGGUAGUCCACGCGGUAAACGAUGGGCACUAGGUGUCGGGGGUAUCCACUCCCUCGGUGCCGCCGCUAACGCAUUAAGUGCCCUUCCUGGGAAGUACGGUCGCAAGAUUAAAAGUCAAAUGCCUUCGCGCAAUCU